UACAGAGGGUGCGAGCGUUAAUCGGAAUUACUGGGCGUAAAGCGCACGUAGGCGGCUUGGUAUGUCGGGUGUGAAAUCCCCGGGCUCAACCUGGGAACUGCAUCCGAAACUGCCUUGCUCGAGUAUGGGAGAGGGAAGUGGAAUUUCCGGUGUAGCGGUGAAAUGCGUAGAUAUCGGAAGGAACAUCAGUGGCGAAGGCGACUUCCUGGACCAAUACUGACGCUCAGGUGCGAAAGCGUGGGGAGCAA
rnacentral:rRNA from 1 species